UUAAGCAUAUCAAUAAGCGGAGGAAAAGAAACCAACAGGGAUUACCUCAGUAACGGCGAGUGAAGCGGUAACAGCUCAAAUUUGAAAUCUGGCCUCACGGUCCGAGUUGUAAUUUGUAGAGGAUGCUUCGAGCAUGGUCUGGCCUAAGUUCCUUGGAACAGGACGUCAUAGAGGGUGAGAAUCCCGUAUGCGGCCAGGUGCCUACGCUCAUGUGAAGCUCCUUCGACGAGUCGAGUUGUUUGGGAAUGCAGCUCAAAAUGGGUGGUAAAUUUCAUCUAAAGCUAAAUAUUGGCCAGAGACCGAUAGCGCACAAGUAGAGUGAUCGAAAGAUGAAAAGCACUUUGGAAAGAGAGUUAAACAGUACGUGAAAUUGUUGAAAGGGAAGCGCUUGCAACCAGACUUGCGCGCGGCCGAUCAUCCGGUGUUCUCACCGGUGCACUCGGCCGUGCUCAGGCCAGCAUCGGUUUUGGCGGCUGGAUAAAGGCCCUAGGAAUGUGGCUCCUCUCGGGGAGUGUUAUAGCCUAGGGUGCAAUGCAGCCUGCUGGGACCGAGGACCGCGCUUCGGCUAGGAUGCUGGCGUAAUGGUUGUAAGCGGCCCGUCUUGAAACACGGACCAAGGAGUCUAACAUCUAUGCGAGUGUUUGGGUGUCAAACCCAUACGCGUAAUGAAAGUGAACGGAGGUGAGAACCCUUAAGGGUGCAUCAUCGACCGAUCCUGAUGUCUUCGGAAGGAUUUGAGUAAGAGCAUAGCUGUUGGGACCCGAAAGAUGGUGAACUAUGCCUGAAUAGGGUGAAGCCAGAGGAAACUCUGGUGGAGGCUCGCAGCGGUUCUGACGUGCAAAUCGAUCGUCAAAUUUGGGUAUAGGGGCGAAAGACUAAUCGAACCAUCUAGUAGCUGGUUCCUGCCGAAGUU
rnacentral:rRNA from 2 species